AUUCAUGUAAUCAAUAGUCUAGUACUUAAACUCACAAUCAUUAUCACUUAAUUAGUUAUCUAAGAAAAUAAAAGGUAACAUUUAAUUGUCAACUUCCAUUUCAAUGAUCAUUUCACAAUGUCUUUCAACCUUUUUAAGCCCAGCUGUUCACAUUAAUAUGCAUUGCAGAAUGUUUGCAAAUUGUGAUAUUUGAUUUAUGUGAAGUGUUUUUUACAGAUAUCUGUUGAAUGCACAAUUAAAAGCAACCAUAGAGUAGCAAAAUAUGUUGACCUUAGUAGCUGAAAUGUGAUAUAGAAAAAGCUCUCUUGGUUGGGUGAAGAAAUCAAGGAAGAAUUUUAACAGUUUGAAGAGAGAGAAAUGUAGAAGACCAUAGCAAAGAUUGCAUUCAAUUGAAAGGAACUAAGCUUCCACUGAAGUGGCAUUUGGAAGAAUCAUUAAUGAACAGGACAAAAUGUUUGGCAGAAUUUCUUACAGCUCUUUCCAUUCUGAGUUCAAAUGUCACUGAGGUCAACUUCGCUUUUCAUACAGAACCAAACUAAAUAAUAUGAAAAUAUCCAGCCUGGGGUUCUGCUACAGAGAUAAUUUACAAACUUACAAAAAUAUGCUUUCCUAAUUUAAUAAAACAAAAAUGUAGUUCUCUGUGAAUGCUGAAGUAUUUUAUUCCGCAAGAACAUUCCAAUGUGACAAAGAACAGAAACAGUACUGGGUCAGAUUGAAUGUCAGUAUUUAGUUACUUCCCUUCAGAUUCUGAAUGUGAAUAUCAUCACAGUCAAUUAUUCCAGUCAUCUUUCUGGGACGACACAACUAUCAAUCAUAUAUCAAGAUCAGUUUAAUUCAUGAUACUCAUUCUUCUGGUAAUUUAAGAAAUCAAAUAUGGCAGUAGAGAUAUGGAAAUAUAAGAAGAGAAGGAAACCAAAAUAUAAAGUCAUGCAAUACCUUCCAU